rnacentral:lncRNA from 1 species
GCUCAUCAACAUAAUGCGCCCAAAUAUUUUCCCCAUAAAGACGCUACCACAGCAUCAUAGCUUGACCAGGUCUGGAUCCAUGAGAUUGAGCCACAGCAACAUUUCUGGCAUAGUGGAUUCCCACAAUUAUUACUUGGAAAACUUGAACAUAAAAUUAUACAUAAAUUCUCAUGUUUGGAAUAUUAGAAUUCAUUUUGAAUUUCUAGCCUAGCUAGCUUGUACCACAGUUUAAAAUUAUAUACUUUUUUGAGUUUAGCAUAGGAAGAAAAAGAGAGUAGAAAAACACACUUCAAGCUCAGUGUAAUUCAUUCCCUUAAGAAGCACCUUUGAACCCUUGGUUAGAAUAGCAUUCAUGUCUCUACUUCCUACACAAAUAAACAACCACAAAACAAAUAAAUAAAUAAAAUGGGAGCUCGAAAAACAACAUAUGUUACUAGGAAACGAUUUAUCUGCUUACCCAUAUCAACAGAAAGUAGUGACGAUGAACAAGCGGCGGUAGAAACGGAACGAGGAGAUGGAGAUUGGGCGGUGGCGGUGAUGAAGAGAGUUGUUUUAGAGAGGAAAGAGAGAGAUGAGAUCGAUUUGGGUAAGGAAUUGAGAGCCAAGCAGAUGAGGAGUCCAUGGAAGGGUGAUUUACAAGAACCACUGACCGCACGCGCUUCAUCCACAUACAACUCAUCUCCAUUCUCCGAUUUCCUGUAGCCCGAAAGUAUUACAUGUUCAUUUGAUGAAAAUAUAUAUUAACAUCAUCACAGCCGACAAGAACUGAAGAUUUAAGUAAAGCGGAAAUUUUCAGUUUUUUAUGAUAAUUUCAGAAAAACAAAAGAAAAAUUCAUCAGAUUUAAUUAAUUUAACCAAAUUCAGGAUUCAAUCAUUAUUGCAAAAAAGUGAACUGAUCAUUCAGAAUUUGAAAUAAUCCGUAGCACCUGUUUAGUAAUCGCAGAGCUUAAAACCAACAAAUGAAAAAAUAAAGGGAAAAAGAAAAAGGAAGGUUCUCACCAAUUUGAAGCGAUUAAUCAAAAUUUGAAGAGAUAGGUUCCCUUUUUUUUUUUUUUCCUUGAAUUGACCAAUUUCAGGCGUUUUUUCCUUUUUCAGAAGGGAGAGGAAUUGAGGCGAAGAAGAAGAGAUUAAGAGAGAGGUAGUUAGUACUUAACAUGAAGGAGAGGCGUGGUCGGGUCGUGGAGAGAUAGUGAGAUGUGGGCUUUACCAAAGAAAUGGACUCUGGAAGUUGGGAAUACAUAUGGUCUUUAAGAUUAUGGAUUUUUUUUUAUUUUUUUCAAAUGAUUAUAAAAAUAAUUGAAUAAAUGAAAUUAAAGGAUGAACACUGAAAUUAAAUAAGAUUUUUAUUUCUUUUCUAUUUUAUGGUAACUAUACAAAAUAGCACAUUUACAAUCCAUGUGUACCUAAAGAGCUACAUUAUCUCAAAAAAAGAAUCACACAGGUAAAAUAUUGUGCUCUUCUGUAACAUGACGUCUUAUGAUUUCAAUUAUGUUGUUAAAUCUCUCUCGUAGUCUGCUAAUUAAACGGUAAAUCUCUUCAAGUGAAUUAUAUAUUACUUUAGCGCAUAAGGAGGCCCAUAAAAUUAAAAUAAUCCAACCAAAAAUUGGAACAAGGAAAAACAGAAGUGCAACUAUGGCCGAUCCAACAGCAAAUAGGCCAACUUUGCUAAUAAUUGAAUUGAAGGAGCUCCAAGCUUGAAAGAUAGUUCCAAACCCAUAUGUGAAUAGACCAACAAGAAAGAUUGUUAAUAUAAAGUGUUUGUCUGUAUCAACCAAAGGCUUGAUUUGAACGAGGCCAAUUAAACUAGUUAUGGUGAAGGUGAAAACUUUGUGUACUGCAUUUAAAUUUUUCCUGAAAAGAAAAAUGAAAUAAAAAAAUUAUUAGAAGGCUUUAGCACAUUUCAAUUUAACUAUAUAUAUUUGUAAUUGAUAAGGAUAAACAGAGUUGCAUAACAAAGUUGAAAUAAUAGAGAAGUUAAACAAGUGUGCUUUGUCUUGCCAUGAACACUGAAAAACUUGAAGAUACAAUAAAAAGUUUGCAACCCAAUGUUUAAUGAUCCUUACCUUCCGAUUGGCAUUUUCUUUUAAAUUCUUCGUGCUUGUUAGAGAACGCAAGAAUGGUUGAGAACGCAAGAAUAGGAAGAUAGGAGAGAAGCUGCAAUGACUAGAGAAGUUGCAAUGAGUCCCUUUUAUAAAUAUUAUAUCCUGCGUGUAUCCUGCGUGUCUCUCCUCCCUCUCUUUUACAAUAUAGAGGAUUCCCUCUCUUCUCCUCCCUCUAUUUUGGAUAUAGAGGAUUUUCUCUUUUAGGUUAUAUAGGAUUCCCUCUUUUAGGAUAUAUUGGCCGUUGAUUUGCUGCUUCCAUUCAAAUUUUCCAAGCCCAACCUCAUUACCUUGUUGUUUUUUUUUUUUUUUUGACAUGACUCAUUAUCUUGUUGUUAGAAUGCAUUGAUACUAAUAAGUUAUAAAAACAGACGUCAAGACUUCUACACACGCAACGUGGGACAAUAUUCUUCCUUGGAAAAAAAAAAAAAAAAAAAAAAGAAUCCUGUUCCUACAGCUGGUUCUCUCACUUCUGCCUUAAUUAUUCAAUAAAUAAAUUUUCACUAUUAACUUUUUCAGUCUUUUGCUCUUUGCUCUCAUAUUUUGUCAUUAAAACAGUUAAUGACAAAAUAUGUGAACAGUGAAUGAACUGUUUAAUAAAAAGAGAUAUUGCCUUUCCAAUCCUAUUCCUACUGCUUUCUCUCACAUCUGCCUUAAUUCCUCAAAUUAUGUGUUUUUCUAUGUGAACAGGGAAUGCAUAACGACGACAAAACGAAUGAAAUCUUCACUUUCUAUUUAUGUCGUCGAUAGAUAGUGAAAAUAACAUUGAAUUAUUAGAUGCCUUAGUACUCGACUGAGCAAAGUCACUAACUGAGCCAAAUCUGAACUGAUUGGAAAAACUUAUUCAAAUAGAAAAUUUUCUAGAUCACAGACUUACCAUAAAUACAACAUUUGUAAUGGAACCAACUUCGCUCGUCACAAGACGUUGUGCAAAUACAACCUGGUCUACAAUCUCUGCAGUAGUCAGAUGUCUCUUCAAACCCAUCCUAAAAAUUGGAUUAUGCAUCAAGAAGAUGUACCUUGUAGAAAGUAACAAUAGCAAUGAUACAGAUACAAAUAAGAAAGAUAUAAAGCUUACAUGCCAGUGUAGGAGAACUGACAAUUCAUGGCACAGCCCACUUGACUUGAAACACAAACUGUCGUCCUACCUCUAUCACAAGGUAUAACGACUGUUUCAAUUACCAGUUCAUCAUCCAACCUAAUAAAAUCUGCAAGCGCCUGUGAGUUUCAAAACCAAUGACAAGAUAAUGCAACGGCUAAAAGCAAAAUAUCGAACCAGAAUAAAGUGACUUCGAGACCAAAAAUACAACAGAUAAUGGUUUUGGCUACCUUCUUAGUUCCAUCGGAUGCAGUACGAACAUCUUCCAGAUAUAUUGCCUUACUCGUGUUCACUCAACAUUUUCCUAAAAUCCUUAUUCAAACCUGAAUAAGGUUAUCAAAGACAAAUUCAUAAGGCUCAGCAUGUCUCUGUUGUUGGAAGAGAGAUUCAAUGUUGCACAUAGAUAGGGAAAUCAAAGGGAGAUAAAAUCAUUUAGCUCACUGACAAGGCUAUAAAACCAGACAACAGAUAGCAUUUCAGAGACAAGGUGGUGUAAGAAUAAGUUCAUCAACAUAAUGCGCCCAAAUAUUUUCCCCAUAAAGACGCUUCCACAGCACAUAGCUUCACCAGGUCUGAAUCCAUGAGAUUGAACCCAUUUCUGGCAUAGUGGAUUCCGCCGUCUACGGUGGCCGGAAAUCGACCAUAGCCGGAAUUGAGCAACAUUUAUACCAAAAUGCUCGAAAUCUUAUGGGGACUACGAUCGCGAGAUCCCCUUGGACUGGGCGUGCCUAUUUUGGCCGGAAAUGACCCCGACAGUGGCUUGCCACUGCCGUCCAUGGCGUUUCCGUCCGUUGAGCCCUGUCGCCGAGAUCAAUGGAAGAGAGAGAGAGAGAGACUCGCCUGGAAUUGAGGAGUCAAAUCGGUGGUCUCCUCGUGGAGUGUCUUCACCGGCGUCGACGGGAUUCGCCGAUAAACGUGUCGCGGCGGCGUUGAAGUAUUCUGGCUCGAUUUCUUCCACCCACGCACUCAAUCGCGCAACCUGAGGCUACAAUGAAGCUUCCCUCGUCGAGAAGAUGGAUUCAGGCUAUGGCUGCGCCUGAAUCCGUGGCCGUUUGGCCGAACAAGAAUUAUAUUUGAAUCGUUAUUUAUUCAAAUUCAAUUCAAUGAACUAAAAAUGCUAAAUUUAGAAUUCAUACCAAAAUGGGGAAAUUGGUCUUAGAACGUACCGAUUGAGAUUCGAACUACCACUCCUCGUCCGCGCGAAGAGGAGACCAAUAUGUCUCAUGGGGCCUCGCAGGAGAAUCGCCGGCCGUUCGCCUGAGAGGACGCCGUCUACGGUUGCCGGGAAUUUAAUAAAAAUUCAAAAUUUGGAAAAUAAAAAUACGGGCUAAACAGCUACGUUAUUUCAAAAAGGAAUUACUAAGGUAAAUCAGGUAAAUCAACGUGCUCUUCUACACUAGGACAACUUAUAAUUUCAAUUACCUAGUUGAAUUUUUUUCGUAGUUCAUUAAUUAAACGCUAAUAUUAGUACUCAGUAUGAAGGAGAGGCAGGGUCGGGUCGUGGAGAGAUAGUGAGAUGUGGGCUUUACCAAAUAAAUUGACUAUGGAAGUUGGGAAUACAUACGGUCUUUAAGAUUAGGAUUUUUUUUUUUUUGUUUAUUUUUUUCAAACGAUUAUAAAAAUAAUUGAAUAAAUGAAAUUAAAGGACUAUCACUGAAAUUAAAUAAAAAUUCUAUCUCUUUUCCAUUUUAUGGUAACUACACAAAAUAGCACAUUGUCAGUCGAUAUAUAGCUAAAGAGCUACAUUAUUUCAAUUCGAUAUAUAAUCAGAGAGCUGCGUUAUUUCAAAAAAAAAAUUACAUAGAUAAAUUGUCAUGCUCUUAUAUAACAUAACUUAUGAUUUCAAUUGUCUCUCUCGUAGUUUACUCUUCUGUAACUUGACUUGUGAUUCCAAUUAUUUUAUUGAAUUUCUCUCGUAAUUUGCUUCCAAUUAUCUGGUUGAAUCUCUCUCGUAAUUUACUGAUUAAACUGUAAAUAUUAUCCCUUGAGUUUUAUACUACUUUAGUUAACAAGGAGGCCCAUAAGAUUAAAAUGAUCCAACCCAAAAUUGGCAAAACCAUAAGCACAAGUGCAACUACGGCUAAUCCAAGAGCAAAUAAGCCAACUUUGCUAGUAAUUGAAUUGAAGGAGUUCCAAGCUUGAAAGAUAGUUCCAAACCCAUAUGUGAGUAGAGCAAUAAGAAAGAUUGGUAAUAUAAUGUGUGUGUCUGUAUCAACCAAAGGCUUGAUUUGAAUGAGGCCAAUUAAACUUGCUAUGGUCAAGGUGAAAACACUGUGUACUGCUGCAUUAAAAUUUUCCCUGAAAAGAAAAAUGAAAUAAAAAAACUAUUAGAAGGUUUUAGCACAUUUCAAUUUAACUAUAUAUAUAUAUUUGUAAUUGAUACGGAUAAACAAAGUUGCAUAAAUUUUAUAGACUUAGCAAUAAUUGGAAAAUGGAUAAAAAUUUUGGAAGAGUUUUUAAUAAUCUUUCAUGAAUUGAAUAAAGAUUGAUGGCUUGAAAUGAUAGAGAAGUUGAACUUGAACAAGUGUGCUCCGUCUAGCCAUGAAAGAAACACUGAAAAACUACAAGAUACAAUAAAAAGUUUGCAACCCAAUAUUUAAUGAUACUUACCUUGCGAAUGGCAUUUUCUUUUAAAUUCUUCGUGCUUGUUAGAGAACGCAAGAAUAGGAAGAUAGGAGAGAAGCUGGCAAUGACUAGAGAGUAACUCUGUGGUCCUUUCUUUUAAUGUAGAUCACUUCUGUCGCUCUCUUCAAAUCACAGUGGGUGGUCCUUUCUUCAACACUAGAGACUAACUCUUUCUUCAACACUAGAGAGUAACUCUGUGGUCCUUUCUUCAAAUGUAGAUCACUUCUGUCGCUCUCUUCAAAUCACAGUGGUCCUUUCUUCAACUUUAGAUCAUGGUCCUUUCUUCAAAUGUAACUCUUUCUUCAACACUAGAGAGUAACUCUGUGGUCCUUUCUUCAAAUGUAGAUCACUUCUGUCGCUCUCUUCAAAUCACAGUGGUCCUUUCUUCAAAUGUGGAUCAUGGUCCUUUCUUCAAAUGUAACUCUUUUCUUCAAGACUAGAGAGUAACUCUGUGGUCCUUUCUUCAAAUGUAGAUCACUUCUGUCGCUCUCUUCAAAUCACAGUCGUCCUUUCUUCAACUGUAGGAUCAUGGUCCUUUCUUCAAAUGUAACUCUUUCUUCAACACUAGAGAGUAACUCUCUUCUCUCUGCAAAUCACAGUGGUCCUUUCUUCAAAUGUAACUCUUUUCUUCAAGACUAGAGAGUAACACUGUGGUCCUUUCUUCAAAUGUAGAUCACUUCUGUCGCUCUCUUCAAAUCACAGUGUUCCUCUCAUAUUUUGCAUAUGGCCACAACUAAGAUUAUAAGUUAACAUUACUUUAUAUGGGCCGUUGAUUUGCUUCUUCGAUUCAAUUUUUCCAAGCCCAACCUCUUUCCAAGCUCAAUCUCAUUACCUUGUUGUCAGAAUUUACAGAUACUAACAGGUAAUAAAAAAAGAUUUCAAGACUUUUACACAGGCAAUAUGGGACAAUAUUAUUCUUUGGAAAAAAAAAAGGCUAUCAUUGCUGUCUUCCGAUUGCCUUUCCAAUCAGAUUCCUACUGCUGUUUCUCUCACAUCUGGCUAACUAAAAAUCUAUUUUCUCUCACUCAAACCAAGAUCUUUGAAAAAUAGAGAUUAAUACUUCAAGGAUGUAAUAACUCUCCUUCAAAUAUCUAAUAGAGCUAGACUAGAGACACUUAAAAAAAAAUCCAUUACAAUAGCUACAGCAAAACGAAUACAGAAACAUACAAGGGUUAGAAGGCUUUUAAAUUUCCCCUGAAAAGAAAAAUGAAAUAAAAAAAACUAUUAGAAGGCUUUAGCACAUUUCAAUUUAACUAUAUAUAUUUGUAAUUCAUAAGGAUAAACAAAGUUGCAUAAAUUUUAUAGACUUGGCAAUAAUUGCAAAAUGGAUAAAAAUUUUGGAAGAGUUUUGAAUAAUUUUUAAUGAAUUUUAAUAAAGAUUGAUAGCUUGAAAUGAGGAGAGAAGUGAAUCAAAUACUGAAAAACUUGAAGAUACAAUAAAAAGUUUGCAACCCAAUAUUUAAUUAUACUUACCUUUCGCUUGGCAUUCUUUUAAAUUCUUCGUGCUUGUUAGAGAACGGAAGAGUAGGAAGAUAGGAGAGCAGCUGCAAUGACUAGAGAGCGAGAGCUGAGUAGUAGCGCUUAGUUUUUUCUGAUGACAGCGACACGCGACUGUCAUUUCUUUGUUACUUUUGAGUAGUGGCGUAUUACUACAGUAGCGCUUCAACUAAAUCUCAUAUUUUUAGUUUUUUCUUAUGAGAGCGACGCGCGACUGUCAUUUUCCAGUCUAGUUUGCAUAUGGCCACAACUAAGAUUAUAAGUUAACAUGACUUUAUAUGGGCCGUUGAUUUGCUUCUUCCAUUCAAAUUUUCCAAGCUCAACCUCAUUCAAUUUUUCCAUUUUGGUCUGAUGGGCCGUUGAUUUUUGGAUUCAAUUUUUCCAAGCCCAACCUCAUUACCUUGUUGUCAGAAUCUACAGAUACUAACAGGUAAUAAAAAAAGAUUUCAAGACUUUUACACAUGCAAUAAAUGACAAGAAGAAAAUGCCAAUUCAGUUUAGAAAUAGAUAAUACUAAACUGAAUUCAAAAUGUCCUUUAGUAUCCUAAAGGGUUAAAAUCAAUCUUAAAUGACAAGAAGAAAAUGCCAAUUCAUUUUCUUUGGAAUGCAAAAAUCCAUUUAAGAUAUUGUGAGAGAAUAAAUGUUCGUUUACUAAUGCAGCCUAAAUUUCAUAGAGAUCUGAACAUCCAUUGCGAACACCCAGCAAAUGCAAGCAGACAAAUUCAUAUGAACCAGCAAAUAGCAAUACAAGGAUAUCAGCAUCCCAAAUAAAAAAUUGCUACGUGUGAAAAUUGUGGCGUGAAAGGUUACUCACCAGUACUUGAUCAAGCCAUCCCAACUGCAAGUUGCCACUUUGCUUUGCUCCAAUGGAUGCCACUCGCACCCAUGCACACACCCUCAUGACACUUGUCCAGAAAACCUUACAACUCUUCCAGUCCCAAAACCAGCAUUUACCCUCACCGUCUCCUGACAUAACAAACCGUCCAUCUGGUGAGAAAUUUACUUGGCAAGCAAAACCUGCCACAAUAUGCUCAGCAAACCGCUGGUGCACCUCUCCUAACUAUUGCAAUUCAGUUUCCUCUGAGAAACCUCAGGAGCAUUUGCUGGGUCAUCAUCCAAGAAUUUUCUUAGUUUGAUAUAAAUCAUUGUAAUAUUAGAUGAGUUUAUCUGGUCAUAUUCCCCAGUGCCAUUGUCAUGCAUAGUUGCAUACAUUCACAGCCUGUGAAAGAUAUCAAUGGACCACAAAUGCACCAAAAAAUAGUAGGCAGAGUGCUUUUACCGUCCACAUCCUUUUUUGAUCCCCUCGUGAUAAUGCAUAAAAUUGAGGGUGUUAAUGAUACAGGUUGAAAAUAUAAUAUCAUAUGAAGGGUUUAAAAGCACAUCAAACAAAUCGUUCUUGCCAAAACUAAAUAGAAACAAGUCAGCAACUGGUAGUCUGGUACCACAACUAAACAUGCUAAAGUAAUUGACAAAGCAACUGCAUACAUCUAUCUUUCUGACUUGCAAUAUCAUGCAGUCAACAUUCACAAUGUCAAUCAUGCAGUUACCCUAACAGUAGCACAAGAUAUUUCAUAUGGCCAAACAUAUUAUCAAAUAUCAAAUAAAACUGAGAAAGGAAAAUGUUUAUCUAACCUGUCAUUUACUCCUGCAAGCAUCACAUACUCGAACAGAACUUUGUAAUUCUUUCUGGAUUGGAGUUCCUUCCGAAGGGUGUCAAGAAGCAAGCUUAAAUUGUAUUUCCGGUUAAUUGGCAUGAUCCAGUUUCUUACCUGCAUGGUUUAUUAGUUAAAGAGAAAGUCAACAACCUGCAUGUGUUUCUCAAGUGAAUAAACAUACAGAUAUAAAUGAAAAUGCACCUCAUCAGUUGUCGCAUUCAGACUAACAGCUAAAGCACAAUUGGAUUCACGAAGGAAACGUUUCAACUGGGGGACAAGCCCGCUUGUAGAAACAGUUACCUUGCGAGAACUAAAAUGAAGACCAUGCUCAUGCACCAUAAUAUCGGCAGCUUUUAUGACAUUUUCAAUUCUGAAGUGGUUCUCCCAUUCCCUGCAAAUAUAUAUUUCAAAGCAAAUUAUUAGAAAUUAUUGGGCUAACUAAAAAAUCUAUUUUCUCUCACUUAAACCAAGAUCUUUGAAAAAUAGGGAUUAAUACUUCAUGGAUGUAAUAACUCACCUUCAAAUAUCUAAUAGAGCUAGACUAGAGACACUUCNNNNNNNNNNAAAAAAAAAAAAAAAAAAAAAAAACGAUUACAAUAGCUGCAGCAAAAGGAAUACAGAAACAUACAAGGGUUAGAAGGGUGUAAAUGCGCAUAGGUAGUGGAUACGCAAUCCAUGAAUAGUAUUGUUGAACGGUUGGACAAGUAUUCCGAUCAAUGCACAAGGAAACACAUGGACUUAAUUCCUCAAAUUAUGUGUUUUUCUAGGUAACCAGGGAAUGCAUAAUGACAACAAAACGAAUGAAAUCUUCACUUUCAAUUUAUGUUGUUGAUAGAUAGUGAAAAUAACAUUGAAUUAUUAGAUGCCUUAGUAUUGGACUGAGCGAAGUCACUAACUGAGCCAAAUCUGAACUGAUUGGGAAAACUUCUGUUAAUAGAAAAUUUUCUAGAUCACAGACUUACCAUAAAUACAACAUUUGUGAUCGAACCAACUUUGCUUGUUACAAGACGUUCUGCAAAUACAACCUGGUCUACAAUCUCUGCAGUAGUUAGAUGUCUCUUCAAACCCAUCCUCAAAAUUGCAUUAUGCAUCAAGAAGAUGUACCUUGUAGAAAGUAACAAUAGCAAUAAUACAAAUACAAAUAAGAAAGAUAUAAAGCUUACCUGCCAGUGUAGCACAACUGACAAUUCAUGGCACAGCCCACUUGACUUCAAAACACAAACUGUCGUCUUACCUCUAUCACAAGGUAUGACGACUUUUUCAAUUACCAGUUCAUCAUCCAACCUAAAUAAAAUCUGCAAGCUCCUGUGAGUUUCAGAACCAAUGAGAAGAUAAUGCAACUGCUAAAAGCAAUAUAUCGAACCAGAAUCAAGUGACUUCGAGACCAAAAAUACAACAAUAAUGGUUUUAGCUACCUUCUUAGUUCCAUCAGAUGCAGUACAAACAUCUUCCAAAGAUAUUACCUCAAAUUCUGCGUGUUCACUCAACAUUUUCCCAAAAUCCUUAUUCAACCCUGAAUAAGGUUAUCAAAGACAAAAUUCAUAAGGCUCAGCAUGUCUCUCUUGUUGGAAUAGAGAUUCAAUUUUUCACAUAGACAGGGACAUCAAAGGGAGAUAAAAUCAUUUAGCUCACUGAAAAGGCUAUAAAACCGGACAAUAGAUAGCAUUUCAGAGACAAGGUGCUGGAAGAAUACCUUCUAGCUCAUCAACAUAAUGCGCUCAAAUAUUUUCCCCAUAAAGACGCUUCCACAGCAUCAUAGCUUGACCAGGUCUGAAUCCAUGAGAUUGAACCCAUUUCUGGCAUAGUGGAUUCCCACAAUUAUUACUUGGAAAACUUUAACAUAAAAUUAUAUAUAAAUUCUCAUAUUUGGAAUAUUAGAAUUUAUUUUGAAUUUCUAGUCUAGCUAGCUUGGACCACAGUUUAAAAUUGUAUACUUUUUUGAGUUUAGUAUAGGAAGAAAAGGAGAGUAGAAAAACACACUUCAAGCUCAGUGUAAUUCAUUCCCUUAAGAAGCACCUUUGAACCCUUGGUUAGAAUAGCAUUCAUGUCUCUACUUCCUACACAAAUAAACAGCCACAAAACAAAUAAAUAAACAAAAUGGGAGCUCCAAAAACAACAUAUGUUACUAGGAAACGAUUUAUCUGCUUACCCAUAUCAACAGGAAGUAGUGACGAUGAACAAGCGGCGGUAGAAACGGAACGAGGAGAUGGAGAUUGGGCGGUGGCGGUGAUGAAGAGAGUUCUUUUAGAGAGGAAAGAGAGAGAUGAGAUCGAUUAGGGUAAGUAAUUGAGAGCGAAGCGGAUGAGGAGGCCAUUGAAGGGUGAUUUACAAGAACCACUGACCGCACGCGCCUCAUCCACAUACAACCCAUCUCCAUUCUCUGAUUUCUUGUAGCCCGAAAGUAUAACAUGUUCAUUUGAUGAAAAUGAAGAGAGUGGGCCUUUAUAUGAGAGUAGGCCUGUCUCUGGCGUGGUUAUAUGUGCUUUUUGUGGUUAUGGUGUGGUUCUGCAACUCACUUGAAAUGCCUAAGUGCUACCCUUUAUAGGAGACAGCUGAUUUGAAAAAUUGAAAUGCCACAGGGGCCAGUGCUGCCCUUUGUAUCCAAUUCGGAGUUGUUGAUGUUUAUACCGAUCAAUCAUAGAAGAAAAAUUUAGAGUCUGCACCAACUUGAAAUAAAGUUCUUUAACAAAAACUUUCCAGACCCAACGUAUAUAAAUAUUAUAUUAUUCUAGGAAUGAAGAGUUCCAUGUUAAGCGGCAUAAGGUGAAGUUUGUGUCUUUUUUUUUUUUAAUUUUUUUUUUGGCUGUUUUUUGAAUUCAAUAGAUAAAAGAAUUCUUUAAGAAAGUGCAGUCAUCUAUGAUACCGCGGUACGUUAACAAAGUGCGAGGGUGCUUUUGGUACCGCGGGAGGGGACUGCCAUCUAAUAGUGGACAAUGCCACAGCCAAGUGAUGCAACUAAAGCCUUGGCUAUAGCAGGUUGCCAAGUGAUGUCAUUUAGGACGACAAUAUUAUGUGCCUCAUCGAAUAUUUACCCAACAUUGACCGAAUACAGAUAAAACAUAUUCGAUGAGGCACAUUUGCUUCGUGAAUAGCAAACUACUGUUUUGCGUCCAUCUUAUUUUUUUUAUCUGGAGAAAUUACUGUUUUGUUCUUUGGAAUUAGUGUGCGAUUUAUCAUUAAUAUGUUGACUGAUGUGACUUUUGGGCCUUUGUUUUUGCCUUGAAGAAAUUGUGUGGUCUCUCUGCUGUUAAUUGAUUAAGCAGCCAUACAGAGUCUUCUUCUUUUAUGAUAAUGUGCAUAAACUAUUUGCUAGAUAUUUUUUAACUUAGUUUUCCUAAUCAGUUAAAUUUCAAAUGUUGAAAUCUAUUGCUCAGAUUUCAGGGAUAAAUUUGUAGCAACUGAAUGUUAUUAUAGAGUCUCGAUGAGUUUUUCCUUCCCUUAUAAAUUGUUAUUACAGGUAAAGUUUUCGACAGUUGAAUUAUUUAGUGCGAGUAAGUUUUUGAAUUCUCAACUCACCUGCUCCUUACUUUCCUUGUGUGCCUUCUUCACGGAUUGACAAGAAUGUUAUGAAUAUGUAUUUCAAAAGCUGACUCUUAGGCGUUUCACCCUAAACAUAAAUUCACUAUUUAGCUUUAUUACUUAAAUUUUACUGCACUUUUAAUUUUUAUUUUAAUUCAUUUAAUAUUUUAAUUUAUAAAAUUAUUUUAUUAAAUAUUUCAAUUUGCAAAAUAGAUCAAUUAAACACCUAUGAAAUAAUUAAAAUUUAUAAAAAUUAUUAUUCAAAAAAUUUUAAAAACUAUAAUUGUUAAUGUGAAAAAAUAUUUAAUAUUAUCAAAAUUUAUAAAUUCAAAUAUAUGAUAAAUCAUCAUAAAAUUUAGAAUAGAAAGAAUUAAAGUUACAAAAUUGAAGAAUAAAUUUAUAUAUUUAGUGAUUUUUCAAGAUUUGAAAUAAUGUUUUUUUGGCAUUUUUCAAUUGUAAAAAUUAUUAGGGUAUUAUAUAAAUAGUUUUUUGUUAAGAGCUGAAAUAAUGUAAGAAGAAGUAAUGUAAGAAAAUGCUAAGCUGAAAUAUUUUUUUAUUUUAUGGCUUUCAAAGAAAUAAUGUAAGAAAAUGCUAAACUCAAUCCGGCCAAAAAAAUAAUCAAACAAAAUCAACUUUAAAAAAAAAAAAGAAAAUAAUAAAAAAUAGGCUAAAGUCAAAGGAUGGUGUUAUAGUUAAACAAAAUAUUAAGGGCUGAAUGGGAAUUUUCCCACGUGGGUUAUAUCUACAUUACUUCAGUCCACGUGUGAUUAUAUGGGUUGUGAUGGGCUGUUGAUUCGAUUCAAUUUUUUCAAGCCCAACCUCAUUACCUUGUUUUGCUGCUGCCCGGAUACACAAGAACUACUGUUCGCAUAAUUUGUAGAAAAUGUCGCGAAUACGUAUUUCAAAACGGAAGCUUAAUCAAUUUGCCCAUAUUUUACCCUAUUAAGUGUGUUUUAUACGUUUUGGGGUUUAUUUAGGUUUAAUACGCAAAUGCAUCUUUUAUUUUUAUUACUUUAUUACUUUAAUUUUGUGAUGCUGUCAAUUUUUAUUGUCUCCUUAAAUGCUUCAUUUUAUAAAAAUUACAUUUAUUAAAUAUUUCAAUUUACAAAAUAGAUUAGUUAGAUACCUAUUAAAUAAUUGAUUAUUAUAAAUAUUAUUAUUUCAAAAUUUAAGCUAAACUACAUAUCGAAUUGAUAUUUUGUAGAUAAGAGCCAAAAAUCUUAAAAAUUAUUGUUAUUAAUGUGAAAAUACGUGUAAUAAUUAAAAUUACAAAGUUCGUGAAUUUAAGUAUUCAGACUUUCUCAAGAUUUUAAAUAAUAUUUACUUUGACAUUUAUCAAUUCUAAAAAACCAAUAAUUGAUCAAAGUUCCAAGGGGUGACAUCAAAUGAAAGAAUAAAAACUAUUUAACAAGGAAGAAAAGAAGAGAAUACCACAAAAUUGCAACUAAAAAGCUAAGCCAAAAUCAUUAAUUAAAUUAUAUUUCUAGUUUAAAUGAUACAAAAUAUGAAGACCCCAAAUUCUCACCAACCGGUACACUAAAAUUUCAAUGGAGAAUGAUACAAUUUGGCUCUUCCGAUCUCUACUCUCUCUAUACCACGGAACGUGCAGCCCUCCAACCAGCAGAAUAUGUAUUGUCUUCUCUCUAUUAUAACAGCAGAAGUGGGCAAAUCAAUUGAUGUAGGAAGAAGAAAUUAGUCCCUGCAAAACAAAGCAAAAGGUUAAAAUGCUAGCUUUUCAUUCAAGGAGGAACGGCUCUCAAAAUGUCUCUGGCAUCGCAAAUUUACAAGUGAUGAUGCAAAGGUUAUGAUGUCUUCUGAAAUUAUCUAGAAAUUAAAUGUUCAUAAUAUAAAUUCCAGCUUAUGUUAAAUUCAAAACAAAAUUGGCACAUUCACCAAAAUAAAUGAAAAUCUUCAUUUAUCCAAUAGCAAAGGUUCUUCCGCUGCAGUUUAUAUCCAUUAGAAAACUAAAAACCUUGUGGGUCAUAAUCAAUAAACGGAAUCAGGAGGAGAUGUUGAAUAAUUGAAAGAGGAAAUUAAGAGGGUUAUCUCUGCCAAAGCAAUGGAAUUCACAACACUUUACAGAAACUUCCAUUCAAAAUGCAUAUGGUUUCAUCUUCUUCUGCUUCCAAUUAAAAUAUAUAUAAAAUAACACAUAAAUGCAGAAUCCGGAUAAUGUAAUAUAAGGGGAUCGUGACUCUACAACGUGAUUUUGAAAAUUUGCAGCAGCACAACAACAGCAGCCAAGCCCUUAGCCACAAAUUAGCUGGGAAUUUGCACAAAUACACAAAAUCUUUUGUUUUCUUAUGGCUCUAUUAGCUAUAGAUAAUACUAAACUGAAUUCAAAAUGUCCUUUAGUAUCCUAAAGGGUUAAAAUCAAUCUUAAAUGACAAGAAGAAAACGCCAAUUCAUUUUGUUUGGAAUGCAAAAAUAUCAUGCAGUUACCCUAACAGUAGCACAAGAUAUUUCAUAUGGCUAAACAUAUUUUCAAAUAUCAAAUAAAACUGAGAGGGGAAAAUGUUUAUCCAACCUGUCAUUUACUCCUGCAAGCAUCACAUACUCGAACAAAACUUUGUAAUUCUUUCUGGAUUGGAGUUCCUUCCGAAGGGUGUCUAGAAGCAAGCCUAAAUUGUAUUUCCGGUUAAUUGGCAUGAUCUAGUUUCUUACCUGCAUGGUUUAUUAGUUAAAGAGAAAGUCACCAACCUGGAUGUGUUUCUCAAGUGAAUAAACAUAUGGAUAUAAAUGAAAAUGCACCUCAUCAGUUGUUGCAUUCAGACUAACAGCCAAAGCACAAUUGAAUUCAUGAAGGAAACGUUUCAACUGGGGGACAAGCCCGCUUGUAGAAAUAGUGACUUUGCGAGGACUAAAAUGAAGACCCUGCUCAUGCACCAUAAUAUCUGCAGCUUUUAUGACAUUUUCAAUGCUCUGAAGUGGUUCUCCCAUUCCCUUCAAAUACAUAUUUCAAAGCGAAUUAUUAGAAAUUAUUGGGCUAACUAAAAAUCUAUUUCCUCUCACUUAAACCAAGAUCUUCGAAAAAUAGGGAUUAAUACUUCAUGGAUGUAAUAACUCUCCUUCAAGUAUCUAAUAGAGCUAGACUAGAGACACUUCACAAAAAAAAAAUCCAUUACGAUAGCUGCAGCAAAACGAAUACAGAAACAUACAAGGGUUAGAAGGGUGUAAAUGCCCAUAGGUAGUAGAUAUUCAAUCCAGGAAUAGUAUUGUUGAAUGGUUGGACAAGUAUCCCGAUCAAUGAUUAAGGAAACACAUGGACUUAAUUCCACAAAUUAUGUGUUUUUCUAUGUGACCAGGGAAUGCAUGACAACCACAAAACGAAUGAAAUCUUCACUUUCUAUUUAUGUUGUCGAUAGAUAGUGAAAAUAACAUUGAAUUAUUAGAUGCCUUAGUACUGGACUGAGCAAAGUCACUAACUGAGCCAAAUCUGAACUGAUUGGAAAAACUUCUGUUAAUAGAAAAUUUUCUAGAUCACAGACUUACAAUAAAUACAACAUUUGAGAUGGAACCAACUUCGCUCGUCACAAGAUAUUGUGCAAAUACAACCUGGUCUACAAUCUCUGCAGUAGUCAGAUGUCUCUUCAAACCCAUCCUAAAAAUUGGAUUAUGCAUCAAGAAGAUGUACCUUGUAGAAAGUAACAUAGCAAUAAUACAGAUACAAAUAAGAACGAUAUAAAGCUUACCUGCCAGUGUAGGAGAACUCACAAUUCAUGGCACAGCCCACUUGACUUGAAACACAAACUGUCGUCCUACCUCUAUCACAAGGUAUGACGACUGUUUCAAUUACCAGUUCACCAUCCAACCUAAAUAAAAUCUGCAAGCUCCUGUGAGCUUCAAAACCAAUCAGAAGAUAAUGCAACUGCUAAAAGCAACAUAUCGAACCAGAAUAAAGUGACUUUGAGACCAAAAAUACAACAGAUAAUGGUUUUGGCUACCUUCUUAGUUCCAUCGGAUGAAGUACGAACAUCUUCCAAAGAUAUUGCCUUAAAUUCUGCGUGUUCACUCAACAUUUUCCUAAAAUCCUUAUUCAAACCUGAAUAAGGUUAUCAAAGACAAAAUUCAUAAGGCUCAGCAUGUCUCUCUUGUUGGAAGAGAGAUUCAAUUUUGCACAUACAUAAGGACAUCAAAGGGAGAUAAAAUCAUUUAGCUCACUGAAAAGGCUAUAAAACCAGACAAUAGAUAGCAUUUGAGAGACAAGGUGGUGUAAGAAUACCUUCUAGUUCGUCAACAUAAUGCGCCCAAAUAUUUUCCCCAUAAAGACGCUACCACAGCAUCAUAUCUUGACCAGGUGUGGAUCCAUGAGAUUGAACCCAUUUCUGGCAUAGUGGAUUCCUACAAUUAUUGCUUGGAAAACUUGAACAUAAAAUUAUACAUAAAUUCUCAUGUUUGGAAUAUUAGAAUUCAUUUUGAAUUUAUAGUCUAGCUAGCUUGUACCACAGUUUAAAAUUAUAUACUUUUUUGAGUUUAGCAUAGGAAGAAAAAGAGAGUAGAAAAACACACUUCAAGCUCAGUGUAAUUCAUUCCCUUAAGAAGCACCUUUGAACCCUUGGUUAGAAUAGCAUUCCUGACU